AGGAGAGUUUGAUCCUGGCUCAGGACGAACGCUGGCGGCGUGCCUAACACAUGCAAGUCGAGCGGGGAUAUACUGGAUGAGAGCUUCGGCAGGAUUCUGGUAUAUUCUAGCGGCGGACGGGUGAGUAACGCGUGAACAAUCUGUCCCGGACAGGGGGGAUAACACUUGGAAACAGGUGCUAAUACCGCAUAAGACCACAGGGCGGCAUCGUCCAGGGGUCAAAGGAGAAAUCCGGUUCGGGGUGAGUUCGCGUCUGAUUAGCUGGUUGGUGAGGUAACGGCCCACCAAGGCGACGAUCAGUAGCCGACCUGAGAGGGUGAUCGGCCACAUUGGAACUGAGACACGGUCCAAACUCCUACGGGAGGCAGCAGUGGGGAAUAUUGGGCAAUGGGCGAAAGCCUGACCCAGCAACGCCGCGUGAGGGAAGAAGGUUUUCGGAUUGUAAACCUCUGUCCUUGGUGACGAAGGAAGUGACGGUAGCCAAGGAGGAAGCCCCGGCUAACUACGUGCCAGCAGCCGCGGUAAUACGUAGGGGGCGAGCGUUGUCCGGAAUGACUGGGCGUAAAGGGCGCGUAGGCGGCUAAGUAAGUUAGAAGUGAAAUUCCAGCUUUCAAGGUUGGAACUGCUUUUAAUACUGCAUAGCUUGAGUGCAGAAGAGGUAAGCGGAAUUCCCAGUGUAGCGGUGAAAUGCGUAGAGAUUGGGAAGAACACCAGUGGCGAAGGCGGCUUACUGGGCUGUAACUGACGCUGAGGCGCGAAAGCGUGGGGAGCGAACAUGAUUAGAUACCCUGGUACGUCCCCU
rnacentral:rRNA from 1 species